AUUCCAGCUCCAAUAGCGUAUAUUAAAGUUGUUGCAGUUAAAAAGCUCGUAGUUGGAUUUCUGGUGCAUUCCACUGGCCUAUUGGUUAACUCCAACUUGGCUCAUUUGGAAUACGCCAUCUUUAGGCAGACCCGUCGUGGCAUUAGGUUGUCGUGAUGGUUACGCCUAUCGUUUACUGUGAAGAAAUUAGGGUGUUCAAAGCAGGCUUAUGCCAUGAAUACGUUAGCAUGGAAUAAUGAGAUAGGAUUUCGGUACUAUUUUGUUGGUUUGUGUACGGAAAUAAUGAUUAACAGGAACAGUGUUGUGGGUACUCGUAUUUCGUUGUCAGAGGUGAAAUUCUUGGAUUUACGAAAGACGAACGACUGCGAAAGCAUUUACCAAGGAUGUUUUCAUUA
rnacentral:rRNA from 1 species